rnacentral:lncRNA from 1 species
AUUUCUGUUAAAUCGGUGGUAAUGUCUAGAAAUGUGAUGCCUCCAGCUUUUCUUUAUCUUGCCUGAUUGCUCUGGCUAAGACUUCCAACAAUACUUGAAUAGGAUUGGUGAAAGAAGGCAUUCUUGUCAUGUGUUAGUUUUCAAAAGGAAUUCUUCCAGCUUUUGCCCGUUUAGUAUGAUGUUGCCUGUUAGUUUGUCACAUCUGGCUCUUAUUAUUUUGAGUUGUGCUCCAGAACAUCAUGGUGCUGGUACAAAAACAGGCAGGUAGACCAAUGGAACAGAUAGAGAGCCUAGAAAUAAGACUGCACACUUACAACCAUCUGAUCUUCAACAAAGCUGACAAAAACAAGCAAUGGGGAAAAGACUCCCUAUUCAAUAAAUGGUACUUGGAUAAGUGGCUAGCCAUAUGCAGAAGAUUGAAGGUAGACCCCUUCCUUGCACCAUAUACAAAAAUCAACUCAAGAUGGAUUAGAGACUUAACAUAUAA